rnacentral:tRNA from 1 species
UCCUUGGUGGCUCAGAUGAUAAAGAAUCUGCCUGUAAAGCAGGAGACUCAGGUUCAAUCCCUGGGUCAGGAC